UACGGGAGGCAGCAGUAGGGAAUCUUCCGCAAUGGGCGAAAGCCUGACGGAGCAACGCCGCGUGAGUGAUGAAGGUCUUCGGAUCGUAAAACUCUGUUAUUAGGGAAGAACAAACGUGUAAGUAACUGUGCACGUCUUGACGGUACCUAAUCAGAAAGCCACGGCUAACUACGUGCCAGCAGCCGCGGUAAUACGUAGGUGGCAAGCGUUAUCCGGAAUUAUUGGGCGUAAAGCGCGCGUAGGCGGUUUUUUAAGUUUGAUGUGAAAGCCCACGGCUCAACCGUGGAGGGUCAUUGGAAACUGGAAAACUUGAGUGCAGAAGAGGAAAGUGGAAUUCCAUGUGUAGCGGUGAAAUGCGCAGAGAUAUGGAGGAACACCAGUGGCGAAGGCGACUUUCUGGUCUGUAACUGACGCUGAUGUGCGAAAGCGUGGGGAUCAAACAGGAUUAGAUACCCUGGUAGUCCACGCCGUAAACGAUGAGUGCUAAGUGUUAGGGGGUUUCCGCCCCUUAGUGCUGCAGCUAACGCAUUAAGCACUCCGCCUGGG
rnacentral:rRNA from 1 species